UCUCGGUGAUUUAGUCGAGCGUGACCUACCCCAUCUCAUUCCGAACUGGGAAGUAAAAGCGUUCGACAUCGAUGAUACUUGUCCUUUUGAGGGCUGGGAAAGUAGAUUUCGCCGGGAU
rnacentral:rRNA from 1 species